AAUUAUCGAAAUUAUGCCGACAAAAUGUAAAUUGUUUUCUUGUAGUGCAUACAAGCCAUCAAUAAACGCAGAUUACUACACAUCACAUCAUCUCCAUUCUCUCGCAUACUACAAGCAAAUCGAUCAAAACUGCUUCGAUCUCCAAUACUCGCACAGUCGCAAUACACGGAGCCAGAUAAUAUUGAGCCGACUCGUGGACCUGAAACAAUAGCAUGCUCCAGAGUGCUCUGUAUAGUCGAUGCAAAUGGUUGCCUGCCUAGUGCGAGUUAAGUGCAUGUUAAAUCCAAAAGUGCAUAAAACAAAGCAUGUCCUUACUGAUGGUGCAAAUUAGGAUCACGAAUAACUGAAGGUGAAUGCACCAUGUGCUGACCACGUGCCAGUGGUCAGUGAUCAAUACCAUCUCGCACAAACAGGAACCACAUAGGCCAGAUUACGAGUUCUAGACAUCAUUCGGCCCAAACGAAACGGAACGCCGCACAAAAUAGUGUCUGCUGGCCAACCCCGUGAAGCUUGAACAAGCUGAGCCAUUUCCCAACAUAAGGGCGACAAGGCCUUCAACAGAAGGCCUUUUAUUUGCAGCCCACCAAUAUAUUGGCUCUACCACGGCAGCUGCCAUCCAUUCCCUGCCGCCCAGGCCGGCCUCAUCACAGGAACGCCCACCAACUGCAUAUCGUCGGCCGCUGGAGCAGCGAACGACGAGUGCACGUGCACACGGCCCUUUCAAGAGCCGAGUACAGGCUGUAGCGUUGCAUGGGAACCCGGAGGCUGAGAGUGGUGCAUUACGCUGGAAACUCUCUCACACGACACAGGACCAUGCGACACCGUUCGGUGUGACUCCAGGAGCCGUGCGACAUUUUAUGGCUUUGCGUGAGAGCGAGAGAGUGUUGCGGGUAGCAGUGUCGCGAGGCUAGUUGCGUAGUUGGUGCAGGGAGGGAUCAACGACCGCCACAACAUCGCCGAUGCAGCGAAUGCAGCAAGGGGCCCCUACCGGUUAGUGAUAGGCUUAAGACGAAUGCCAGAAAAGUAUGUAGAAUAGAUAUAAGUUAAUCAUGAGCGGUCAGUUUCAUUAAGUAACAACUUCAUCCCUUGUCAUUUAUAGUUUGAAUUGAGUCGAUCAUUGCUUUUUCCAUUGCCUUGGCCAAUCGGCUGCUGGCACGUCUCAAACAAUUUGAGUGGCUAGCCGGAAUAGCAAAACUUUGAGCAUACAGGUGUGUUACCACCCGAUUGACCAUUUUUUCCCUCAGUGGUCAUUUAGUUUAGAGAUUUAGCAUUUUUGCGUUGCGCUCCAUUAGACAGAAUCCUACACCUAAUAGGAAAACUG